rnacentral:rRNA from 1 species
CGGACGGGUGAGUAGUGUCUGGGAAACUGCCUGAUGGAGGGGGAUAACUACUGGAAACGGUAGCUAAUACCGCAUAACGUCGCAAGACCAAAGAGGGGACCUUCGGGCCUCUUGCCAUCGGAUGUGCCCAGAUGGGAUUAGCUAGUAGGUGGGGUAACGGCUCACCUAGGCGACGAUCCCUAGCUGGUCUGAGAGGAUGACCAGCCACACUGGAACUGAGACACGGUCCAG